GUGCUCACUUCAGCAGCACAUAUACUGCUGAAGGUUAGCAUGACCCCUGUGCAAGGAUGACAUGCAAAUUCGUGAAGCAUUUCAUAUUUCU
rnacentral:snRNA from 1 species